AUUGAACGCUGGCGGCAUGCCUAACACAUGCAAGUCGAACGGCAGCACGGUCUGGUUUACCAGAUGGGUGGCGAGUGGCGAACGGGUGAGUAAAGCGUAGGAAUAUACCUUAAAGAGGGGGAUAACCUGGGGAAACUCAGGCUAAUACCGCGUAAACUCUGCGGAGCAAAGCUGGGGACCGAAAGGCCUGGCGCUUUAAGAAUAGCCUGCGUCCGAUUAGCUAGUUGGUGGGGUAAAGGCUCACCAAGGCGACGAUCGGUAGCUGGUCUGAGAGGACGAACAGCCACACUGGGACUGAGACACGGCCCAGACUCCUACGGGAGGCAGCAGUGGGGAAUAUUGGACAAUGGGGGGAACCCUGAUCCAGCAAUGCCGCGUGUGUGAAGAAGGCCUGAGGGUUGUAAAGCACUUUCAGUGGGGAGGAGGAUUACUAGGUUAAGAGCCAGGUAAUUGGACGUUACCCACAGAAGAAGCACCGGCUAACUCCGUG
rnacentral:rRNA from 1 species